rnacentral:tRNA from 1 species
GCCUGCUUAGCUUUAUUUCGGCUAGAGCGAUUGAUCCGUAAUCAAUAGGUAAACAGUUCGACUCUGUUAGCAGGCACCA